CCAGACUCCUACGGGAGGCAGCAGUGGGGAAUAUUGCACAAUGGGGGAAACCCUGAUGCAGCAACGCCGCGUGAGUGAGGAAGUAUUUCGGUAUGUAAAGCUCUAUCAGCAGGGAAUAGAAAAGAAGGUACCUGAAAAAGAAGCCCCGGCUAACUACGUGCCAGCAGCCGCGGUAAUACGUAGGGGGCAAGCGUUAUCCGGAUUUACUGGGUGUAAAGGGAGCGUAGACGGCUGUGCAAGUCAGAAGUGAAAGCCCGGGGCUCAACCGCGGGACUGCUUUUGAAACUGUGUAGCUGGAGUGCAGGAGAGGUAAGUGGAAUUCCUAGUGUAGCGGUGAAAUGCGUAGAUAUUAGGAGGAACACCGGUGGCGAAGGCGGCUUACUGGACCGAAACUGACGUUGAGGCUCGAAAGCGUGGGGAGCACACAGGAUUAGAUACCCCAGUAU
rnacentral:rRNA from 1 species